rnacentral:rRNA from 1 species
CCUACGGGGGGCUGCAGUGGGGAAUAUUGGACAAUGGGCGCAAGCCUGAUCCAGCCAUGCCGCGUGAGUGAUGAAGGCCUUAGGGUUGUAAAGCUCUUUUGCCGGGGACGAUAAUGACGGUACCCGGAGAAUAAGUCCCGGCUAACUUCGUGCCAGCAGCCGCGGUAAUACGAAGGGGACUAGCGUUGUUCGGAAUCACUGGGCGUAAAGCGCACGUAGGCGGAUCAUUUAGUCAGGGGUGAAAUCCCGGGGCUCAACCUCGGAACUGCCUUUGAUACUGAUGGUCUCGAGUCCGAUAGAGGUGGGUAGAAUUCCUAGUGUAGAGGUGAAAUUCGUAGAUAUUAGGAAGAAUACCGGUGGCGAAGGCGGCCCACUGGAUCGGUACUGACGCUGAGGUGCGAAAGCGUGGGGAGCAAACAGGAUUAGAUACCCGAGUAGUC